AUUGAACGCUGGCGGCAUGCUUUACACAUGCAAGUCGAACGGCAGCAUGACCUAGCUUGCUAGGUUGAUGGCGAGUGGCGAACGGGUGAGUAAUGCACCGGAACGUAUCCAAUAAUGGGGGAUAACGCACCGAAAGGUGUGCUAAUACCGCAUACGCCCUGAGGGGGAAAGCGGGGGACUCGCAAGGGCCUCGCGUUAAUGGAGCGGCCGAGGCCGGAUUAGCUAGUUGGUGGGGUAAAGGCCCACCAAGGCGACGAUCCGUAGCUGGUCUGAGAGGACGACCAGCCACACUGGGACUGAGACACGGCCCAGACUCCUACGGGAGGCAGCAGUGGGGAAUUUUGGACAAUGGGGGCAACCCUGAUCCAGCCAUGCCGCGUGAGUGAAGAAGGCCUUCGGGUUGUAAAGCUCUUUCGCAAGGAAAGAAAACUUAUCUCCUAAUACGAGAUGAGGCUGACGGUACCUUGAUAAGAAGCACCGGCUAACUACGUGCCAGCCGCCGCAGUAA
rnacentral:rRNA from 1 species